AGUGGCGGACGGGUGAGUAACGCGUGAGAAUCUGCCUUCAGGACGGGGACAACAGUUGGAAACGACUGCUAAUACCCGAUGUGACGAAAGUUGAAAGAUUUAUCGCCUGAAGAUGAGCUCGCGUCAGAUUAGCUAGUUGGUGGGGUAAGAGCCUACCAAGGCAACGAUCUGUAGCUGGUCUGAGAGGAUGAGCAGCCACACUGGGACUGAGACACGGCCCAGACUCCUACGGGAGGCAGCAGUGGGGAAUUUUCCGCAAUGGGCGCAAGCCUGACGGAGCAAUACCGCGUGAGGGAGGAAGGCUCUUGGGUCGUAAACCUCUUUUCUUAGGGAAGAUAAUGACGGUACCUAAGGAAUCAGCAUCGGCUAACUCCGUGCCAGCAGCCGCGGUAAUACGGAGGAUGCAAGCGUUAUCCGGAAUGAUUGGGCGUAAAGCGUCCGUAGGUGGUUAUGUAAGUCCGUGGUUAAAGCGUGGAGCUUAACUCCAUAACGGCCAUGGAAACUACAAGACUAGAGUGAAGUAGGGGUAGAGGGAAUUCCCAGUGUAGCGGUGAAAUGCGUAGAGAUUGGGAAGAACACCGGUGGCGAAAGCGCUCUACUGGACUUAAACUGACACUGAGGGACGAAAGCUAGGGGAGCGAAAGGGAUUAGAUACCCCUGUAGUCCUAGCCGUAAACGAUGGAUACUAGGUGUUGCCCGU
rnacentral:rRNA from 1 species